GCUCCGGUAGUGUAGUCCGGCCAAUCAUGAGGGACUCUCACUCCCUCGACUUGGGUUCAAAUCCCAACCGGAGCA
rnacentral:tRNA from 1 species